UGACGGACUGAAGGCUCUUUCUCGAUUCCGUGGAAAGUGGUGCAUGGCCGUUUUUGGUUGGUGGAUCGAUCCGUCUGGUUAAUUCCGUUAACGAACGAGACCUCGGCACUCCGAAUAGCGCGGCGGACGUCGCGGCCUCCGGGCCGUCUUCCGCACGAGCUUCUUAGAGGGACCGUCCCCCGCCGGGGAAGGAGGUGCGAGGCAACGACAGGUCUGUGAUGCCCUUAGAUGUUCUGGGCCGCACGCGCAUUACACUGACGCGUCCAACGGGUGACUCCCGACCCGAAGGGGCCGGGGAAUCCGCAAGGCGCGUCGUGAUGGGGAUUGAACGUUGCAAUUGUUGUUCACGAACGAGGAAUUCCUAGUAGGCGCGGGUCAUCAACCCGCGCCGAUUACGUCCCUGCCCCUUUGUACACACCGCCCG
rnacentral:rRNA from 1 species